rnacentral:rRNA from 1 species
UACGUAGGGGGCAAGCGUUGUCCGGAUUUAUUGGGCGUAAAGAGCGUGUAGGCGGCCAGAUAAGUCCGCUGUGAAAUCUCGAGGCUCAACUUCGAGCUGUCGGUGGAAACUGUCUGGCUAGAGUCCGGAAGAGGAGAAUGGAAUUCCUGGUGUAGCGGUGAAAUGCGCAGAUAUCAGGAAGAACACCCGUGGCGAAGGCGGUUCUCUGGGACGGUACUGACGCUGAGACGCGAAGGCGUGGGGAGCGAACAGG